GAAUUUUUAGUUUAUUUAGAAUAUUUUAUUUACAAUAAAAAGGAAUAAAGUUCU
rnacentral:tRNA from 1 species